GGGAAAUCUUACCGGGUCCGGACACACUGAGGAUUGACAGGUGUUUCGUUUUGAUAUGGUAUUGUAUCAAUGCGUUUUUCCUUUUUGGAGAAAUGUACAUAUGUACUAUUAUGCAAAACAUUUCAAAUAUGCUAGUCCUUUCAUGAUUGUGUGAUAGGUGGUGCAUGGCCGUUCUUAGUUCGUGGAGUGAUCUGUCUGCUUAAUUGCGUUUCACAUAUGGCUCGUACGUGUUUUAUGCUAAUACUGUGACCUCAUUGUUCUUUUACAGAGUGGUGACUGCGUCCGGUAUGGUAUACGCUGCGAUCGCCACGAAGGCAACGA
rnacentral:rRNA from 1 species